CCCCCCGCCUAUAUACCGCCGUCGUCAGCUUACCCUGUAAAGGCUCUACAGUAAGCAAAACUGGCACAGCCCAAAACGUCAGGUCGAGGUGUAGCGAACGAAAGGGGAAGAAAUGGGCUACAUUCCCUGAUACAAGGAACAACGAACGUCUCUAUGAAAUAAUAUUCUGAAGGAGGAUUUAGCAGUAAGUAAAAAACAGCGAGUUUUACUGAAGUCGGCCCCGAAGCGCGCACACACCGCCCGUCACUCUCCCCCAAAACCUAGAUAACCUUAACUAAGACAUAAAACAAGACAAGGGGAGGCAAGUCGUAACAUGGUAAGCGUACUGGAAAGUGCGCUUGGAAAAAC
rnacentral:rRNA from 1 species